UGUUUUGCCAUACAGCCACAGUAUUUUUAUACCUUUCUUAUGGAUUUGUCAACUCUAUCCUCCCUCCACUGAUGAUGGUUACUUCUCAUGAUUACCAAUUCAUUUAGUAACUGUUCACAAUGAUUCUGUGAGGAGGCUGCCCACAUUCAGUAUUGAGUUCACAGAAAUUAAAAUUUACGUUUAUAUGAAACUAACGUCAGUUUUCAAAACUGAGGUACAUACCUGCAUUCAAAAAAGAAAGCAGCAUCUAUGUCUAUUUGGUUCAUUGCUGAAUAUCCAGAACCUAGUAGAGUGCCUAGGACACAGAAGGCAGUAUUGCUUGAUAAAUAAAUGAUGACUAUUACAUGUCUGCAAAUAUCUUAUAAGGGCUGGUGUCCUUAUGAGAAGAGACACCACAGCUUGCUGUCUCUGUGCACACGUGCCAAGGAAAGGCCAUGUGAGGACACGGCAUGAAGUCUGUAGGCCAGGAAGAGAGUUCCCACCAAGAACUAUGUUAUCUAGCACACUGACCUGGGACUUCCUACCCUCCAGA